UACAGAGGUCUCAAGCGUUGUUCGGAUUCAUUGGGCGUAAAGGGUGCGUAGGCGGCGCGGUAAGUCGGGUGUGAAAUCUCGGAGCUUAACUCCGAAACUGCAUUCGAUACUGCCGUGCUUGAGGACUGGAGAGGAGACUGGAAUUUACGGUGUAGCGGUGAAAUGCGCAGAUAUCAGGAAGAACACCCGUGGCUAAGGCGGCUCUCUAGUACGGUACUGACGCUGAGACGCGAAAGCGUGGGGAGCGAA
rnacentral:rRNA from 1 species